AAGAUUAAUACCCCAUAAUAUAUUGAGUGGCAUCAUUUGAUAUUGAAAACUCCGGUGGAUAGAGAUGGGCACGCGCAAGAUUAGAUAGUUGGUGAGGUAACGGCUCACCAAGUCAAUGAUCUUUAGGGGGCCUGAGAGGGUGAUCCCCCACACUGGUACUGAGACACGGACCAGACUCCUACGGGAGGCAGCAGUGAGGAAUAUUGGACAAUGGGUUAGCGCCUGAUCCAGCCAUCCCGCGUGAAGGACGACGGCCCUAUGGGUUGUAAACUUCUUUUGUAUAGGGAUAAACCUACUCUCGUGAGAGUAGCUGAAGGUACUAUACGAAUAAGCACCGGCUAACUCCGUGCCAGCAGCCGCGGUAAUACGGAGGGUGCAAGCGUUAUCCGGAUUUAUUGGGUUUAAAGGGUCCGUAGGCGGAUCUGUAAGUCAGUGGUGAAAUCUCACAGCUUAACUGUGAAACUGCCAUUGAUACUGCAGGUCUUGAGUAAAUUUGAAGUGGCUGGAAUAAGUAGUGUAGCGGUGAAAUGCAUAGAUAUUACUUAGAACACCAAUUGCGAAGGCAGGUCACUAAGAUUUAACUGACGCUGAUGGACGAAGCGUGGGGAGCGAACAGGAUUAGAUACCCUGGUAGUCCACGCCGUAAACGAUGCUAACUCGUUUUUGGGGUUUCGGCUUCAGAGACUAAGCGAAAGUGAUAAGUUAGCCACCUGGGGAGUACGUUCGCAAGAAUGAAACUCAAAGGAAUUGACGGGGGCCCGCACAAGCGGUGGAUUAUGUGGUUUAAUUCGAUGAUACGCGAGGAACCUUACCAAGACUUAAAUGGGAAAUGACAGAUUUAGAAAUAGAUCCUUCUUCGGACAUUUUUCAAGGUGCUGCAUGGUUGUCGUCAGCUCGUGCCGUGAGGUGUUAGGUUAAGUCCUGCAACGAGCGCAACCCCUGUCACUAGUUGCUAGCAUUAAGUUGAGGACUCUAGUGAGACUGCCUACGCAAGUAGAGAGGAAGGUGGGGAUGACGUCAAAUCAUCACGGCCCUUACGUCUUGGGCCACACACGUAAUACAAUGGCCGGUACAGAGGGCAGCUAC
rnacentral:rRNA from 2 species